rnacentral:tRNA from 1 species
UCCGACGCCUGGCCUGGCGGGAGGCCCCGGGGCCGGUGCCGCUGGGAGGGCCGCCGUUCGAGCCCUCGGCCUCGGGGCC